UACGUAGGGUGCGAGCGUUACUCGGAAUUACUGGGCGUAAAGUGUGCGCAGGCGGUUUUGUAAGCCAGAUGUGAAAUCCCCGGGCUCAACCUGGGAAUGGCAUUUGGGACUGCAAGGCUUGAGUGCGGCAGAGGAGACUGGAAUUCCUGGUGUGGCAGUGAAAUGCGUAGAUAUCAGGAGGAAUACCGAUGGCGAAGGCAGGUCUCUGGGCUGACACUGACGCUCAUGCACGAAAGCGUGGGGAGCAAACAGG
rnacentral:rRNA from 1 species